UGGCAUUUAGCUGUUUAUUAUAUGAAGAGAAAUAUGAGUUUCCUCCAUUACAAGAGCAUUAGACAUAGACGGGAUCAUCAAAAGCAAUUUGUUUAACAAAACUUUCUUUUCACUUUUUUUCCUGUGCUGGGAUUAAGUUUUAUAACAACCUGAAAUAUUGGGCCUUGGCCCAUCUAAGUUACUUAGGUAUUCUUGGCCCAUUUUUACGCUACUUCAACCAUAAGCUAUUUACCCACCUCUUUAGUACCUACUUAUAACAUAAUAAAAAAAAAAAGAGCAUCAGGAUAGUUCCAGGGGAAAAAAAAAAAAAAGAAAGAACAAGAGCUACAGGGAAGAGAUGUGAAGAAAAGAAGCUAGAAACUUAGAACCAGAUAAGAAAAAUGCAAGACCCAACUAGUUUCUCCAUUCUUGACUUUGCAAAUAACUGAUACUUCAAGGAGACAAUUGUCGGAAGCGAAUUGGAGUUAUUCGGCAAGAGUACAAUAACUUAGCCGAGGGUGACAUUCUGACUCAGACAGAGCGAUAGACAGAGCUGACAACGAAUCCAGUAAGCCCCACACUUGUUUCGCGUAGGCCAUCAUGUUGCUGGCUACUAUAGUAUAUUAGUUCUUUUUUUCAAAUCCUAGAGUUUUGCCCCUUAAGUCGGCCUUGUAUAUCUUAUUUUGGCUAGUGUUAGUAAAGUGUAGCUUGGGACUUAAGUUUUGCGAAAGCCCAUGGCUUGGGAUUAUGAUGCUCUAUGAAACUUAAUACGUUGGUAUUGUAGCAUGUUGGAUUAUUUUACUGAGUGUUGACAGGUUUUGAUUUAUGGAUUUUCUCCCGAUACAGAGGAAACUCUGCCGAAAUCUUUACUAACAUAAAAUGGUUCAGGCUUGCUCGGUUGGCUUAGGCUAACUGAGCGCCGGUCAUGACCUAGGUGGGUGGGUCGUGACAAGUUUAGCCAUAGAUACACUAACCAACCUUCACAGGAGUCUCUAGAGUCUGCUUAACAGCUUCUACGAUAACUAGAUUUGGAGAAUUCCUAGUUUUAGAGAAGCCUUGAUUUAUCCUAAAAGGCAAAUUACUAAGUACUACAAUGAAACAGGCCCAACUGGAGCAUACAAAUCAAACACUUUCUUCUUUUUGUAUGACCAGCCUCAAAAGGUUCAUGCAAGUUCAGCUGUUUGAAGAUGACAAUAUUCGUUUCGGAGCUUAACUUCAGAAAUUUCUUUUGCAAUUUACUGAAGUAAAUACGAUGUACUGCUCCUACUUCUACUUACUAAAAGAUAAAAAAGAAAACCCCUUCUACUUCUAGAGCAGUUAUGGUAAUCUUGCUCACUUUUCGAUGAAAAACAUUGCCCAUUAAUUCCUUAAGAUACGAUUUAAACAGAAAGAUACCCACAAACCCAAAAGAGAAUAAACAAAGCAUUAGAGACAAAACCAGAGCCAUCAAUGACUAGCAAAUGGCAAAAGAAGGAACACAAGCUUUCAGUCUCAGGUUAAAGCAGCAAUCAAAUCCUUUGACCUUUAUUAGCUAGCAUGUCCAAGAUUUACAAACUAAGACUGGAAGAAAGCUGAGCCAAAUGUUUUCAGGAAGUAG